UGGUGCACUUUCCUUUUUUUAUCCAAAAGAGUGUUUGCAAAUGGUGCUGUGCUCUUCUGUCACGUGGUGCCCUAAGGAGGUACCUGGGGCUGCAGUGUCCAUCCAUCCGUCUGCUCCCGGGAGUGCAUUGCAGAAAGCACUGUGACAGCUGGAGGAGACCUGGGAUCAAACCAGCACAUUCCCAUGAUUAUUCUCUUGGCCAUCACGUAAUGCACCCUAAAUAGCUUUGAAUUGAUGUCACAUGAGGGAAUGAUGCAAAUAUAUAUCUGUUCUUUCCAGUUGUCCUGGAAGCCCUCACUUACCCACCUUUACCAGCAUGAACCUUUUCAGUGGGCUUUUGAAGAGAAAGGAACAGAUCAGCAAAACAUGAAUGAAAGUGGGAUGGCUACAAGGGAGACUGAAAGAAAGGUUGUUUCUAUACCUACCUCCAGUGUGUGAACCAUGAGUGCUCCUCGCUUCAUUUUUCCUAAUGUAUAACUCAGAUCUCCUUCAGUCUUUCAGCUGAUAUUGGAUACCUAUUAGGCUGAGGAUAAAGCAUUUUGCCCACUAAGGCAAGCCAACAACAACACCUGUACUUAUUUCCCAAUCCAUGCUGUCAUGAUGAUAAUGAUAAAGAAUCACUUUUCCUACACUUUUGAAAGGACAUCCUUGCCUACUUUUCCCUGCUGGUGUUUGCUCUAAGCCUGCAGCUGAACAUAAUAACCUGCAUGUCCUGCAUGGAGGGAUGGCACCAGAGCACAUACUUUCAGGAGACCUCUUUUGCUGAGGACAGGUGAGGAGAUUUUUGUGUUAUCCCAGCUCUCUGGUUAGAGAUCAUGGUGCAUUUCCGGUCAAGAACAUUUUCUACAGAGUCUUGGUAGUACAGUAUAGCAUUCCUGGGUGUCCCUCCAGCAUGGACUGUAACAAAAUCUGUUGUUUCAUGCAAGGGAAGCUAUUAUGACUUUGCUGAUGCUCCCGUUCUCCUCUGUUACCUUCCUCUUUCUUUUCCUGCUCCUCGCUGGGACAUCUAUCCCUUUUACCCCCUUUACUCCAGUACCCCAGAAACUAUUGUGCUGGCUUUGCUCCAGACAGCAUCAGCUUUCUGAGGACAGUGGGUUGUUCCAGCAAAGUGAUGGGGCUCAUAGCAUGGAUGGUGGUCAUGGAAUCAUAGAAUGGCUUUGGUAGGAAGGGACUUUAAAAAUUGUCCCAACUCCUCUGCCUUGGGCAGAGUUGCCACCCACUGGAUCAGGCCACCCAGGGCCCUAUCCAAGAGGUGAGUGACAUCAGACACAUGCAGUCCUUGCUACUUUGCAAUAAGCUGUGGCACAUAGACCUGAGUGCUUGUGUGUAAACAGGAGAGGUGACUUCUGGGCAGGAUGACCCAGGGCAGGAAAGGUGCUGGGACCAGGCCGGUGCAGAACAAUGCAUGUGGGAUGUGGGAGGGCUGCCAGCAGGGGAGAGUGGGAAGGCUCCCGUAUGAACCUGAGAGCAAACAAACUUGCUGCCAAGUAGCACUGCUCCUGCUCCAAGGAGGAUCGCUUAUUGCAGUUUGAAUUAUUAGCUCAUUUGUUGUAGUAAAAGACUGCGUGGACGCAAGGCACUGUGAGGAGACCAAACUAAAAUUACAUCUGUGCGCAAAAAAGGCCUGGGAGCGUAUUUAUAUCCCUGCUUUGCCAUGGGACUGUUAUUCAAAGCACAAUAUAAAUCAUUAUGUAAAAAUCAAAAAACCUUUGGUCUCUGCAAUGACUCUGACAUGAAAACACACAGUUGACGCUAAGCAGAAUUGCUAAUACUUGAUGCUCAAGUAGACUUCUGCAGUGUGUAAUUUAUAUCACUGCUAACGUAUGGGGCAUUUGCGUUGGCAAAUGGACUGAGCAGCAAGGUUUGGUGUGUUCCCAGCACACAACCAAUGUGCUCAAUCAGAAAAUCACUGAAACCAUAUGGAAGGGAACCAUCCUCCUCCACUUGCUGCACUUUAAAAAAAAUCCUUUUAAAUCAUUUUAAAUCUUUUUAAUGGUUUCCUUUAAAACCUGAACAUUAAUUUCCACAUCAUCUGACCAAUUUGAAGUAGCAAUGCAAAACAGAGCUCUAGAAAUCC